AACGCACCUUGCGCCUCUUGGUAUUCCGAGAGGCAUGCCUGUUUGAGUGUCAUGAAACCUCAAUCCCCGUGGGUUUUCACAAACCCAUGGUGGACUUGGACUUGGGCGUCUGCCUACCCAGGCUCGCCUCAAAUGGCUCAGUGGGAUCACCUUUGAACCUAUGCCUGACGUAAUAAGUUUCGUCAUCGGCCGGUCGCUGGUGCCUGCUUCCAACCACCAAUUCAUCUUUUGACAUUGACCUCAAAUCAGGUAGGGCUACCCGCUGAACUUAA
rnacentral:misc_RNA from 1 species